rnacentral:rRNA from 1 species
AACGAACGCUGGCGGCAGGCCUAACACAUGCAAGUCGAGCGCACCUUCGGGUGAGCGGCGGACGGGUUAGUAACGCGUGGGAACGUGCCCUUCUCUACGGAAUAGCCUCUGGAAACGGAGAGUAAUACCGUAUACGCCCUUUGGGGGAAAGAUUUAUCGGAGAAGGAUCGGCCCGCGUUAGAUUAGGUAGUUGGUGGGGUAACGGCCUACCAAGCCUACGAUCUAUAGCUGGUUUUAGAGGAUGAUCAGCAACACUGGGACUGAGACACGGCCCAGACUCCUACGGGAGGCAGCAGUGAGGAAUAUUGGUCAAUGGAGGCAACUCUGAACCAGCCAUGCCGCGUGAAGGAUGACGGCCCUAUGGGUUGUAAACUUCUUU